GGAAGUGUGCCCGAAAGAUAAGGGCCUCCUUGAUAGGGAGGACCAUAGGGG
rnacentral:tRNA from 1 species